AUACAUCGUCCUUCAUUGUUUCCUCAUCGCCACCCCCACAUCUUCUAUUCCACCGAAUUUUCUUGGCACAGGUGAUAGGACAAAUUGUUUGUCGGAGGUGUCUAUAGAGGUGAAUGUAAUUGUUACACCUUAAGACUCCGAGGAAGAUGUUUGAUCCAUGAGAAAAUGAAAAUUCAAUUCAUGGAGAAAUUAAAAUUCAAUUCAUAAGGAAAUGGAAAUUUAAUUCAUGAGAAAAUUGAACGGUUUGCUGUGAAUUUAAUAGAAUCGGUGGUGGCACUGUUAAGCCUCUUCACACACCAUCUGCAUAUCAUCUUCUGCUAUUGUUCUUUAAUUUCCUUUAAUUCUCAUUGUCGUUGGUGUUGGGUAUUGUGGAAUUGUUAGCGAGGGUGAAUUAUAUUAACGAUGAUGGUGGGGAUUCUAAAAUUGACGAAGAUGAAGGUUGUAUUGCUCUUGGACCUUGGUGAUGGGUACUUCACAAAUAUGGUUUUAACAGUGGUGGUGGAUUUAUGAGUUGUUGGUAGUUAUGAUGAAUAAGAUGAAGAGUAGUCAGUGGUGCGUUGAUAAAAUUGACGAUGCUGUUCCUUGCUGGUGGAGCCAAUUUUGGUGGAAUUUAUUGAUUUUACCUUUUUGAGGUGUUGGUCGCUGUCAAUGACGUUUUUCGAUGGAUUUGACAAUGGUGGAGCUUCGAUGAGCUUCAUCGGUGAACUCAGACUGGAAAGACACGAUGGGCGAUUGUGGGGUGACAUUUUUGGACUAGAUUUCACUGGAAAAUCAGACCCGAAUAUUUAUCUACCACUGUUCUUGAUUAUUUUUCUCUAAUUUUUGGUGUGCGUGUGUAUUCUCCUAUUGCUGUGUGAGUGAAUGAAUUAUGUGUGUGUAUAUAAAAUGAGUGAGUCAGCUUACUCCUUUCUUCCUUUUGUUUUGUGUGUAUAU
rnacentral:lncRNA from 1 species